rnacentral:rRNA from 1 species
UACGGAGGGUGCAAGCGUUAUCCGGAUUCACUGGGUUUAAAGGGUGCGUAGGUGGGUUUGUAAGUCAGUGGUGAAAUCUCCGUGCUUAACAUGGAAACUGCCAUUGAUACUAUAGAUCUUGAAUUAUCUGGAGGUAAGCGGAAUAUGUCAUGUAGCGGUGAAAUGCUUAGAUAUGACAUAGAACACCAAUUGCGAAGGCAGCUUACUACGGAUUGAUUGACACUGAGGCACGAAAGCGUGGGGAUCAAACAGGA